ensembl:lncRNA
AUUUCUGCAGGUUUCUAUAUCGGGGUGUUUUAACGGUUUAUUUAUUUCUGUUAACUAUAUGCUGCUGUUGCAAGCAUUAAAUUACAUUUUAAGCAAAGCGAGGAUUCGAGAAUCGAAACAAUUUGUUCAUUGAAUAUAUGGAGAGCUAGAACGCCAUGCAAAAGUAGUGGGACGGCUACAUAUUUAAGCAUAAAUGCGGCAAGAAUGUACUGUGAGCUUUUAUUUUGGAUUACAUCUGAACACAUACAAUAUGUUUCAUGUUGAUACUGCUAUGAAAUAAUGGCAGUAUCAUUACUACAUAUAGUUUGGCACAGGUGCUUACAGUCAUGCAUUAUAGUAAGCAUUUGUCUUUUUUUUUUUUUUUUUUUUUUUUUUUUUUUUUAAUUUAAAAACAACAGAACUAGGUUGUCCUUGGUUAAUUGUUUAAAUAUUUAUGAUGUGCACUGUGUAUAUACCAGUCCCUCCAGGAUUUUGCGAUUGCAGAGAUGAACGCAAAAUCAAGGAAACUCCACGAUUUUCAAAAUUACCGCAGAUUUUCUGAAGAAUUGGGCCAAGACACAUCAUGUGAAAUCAUCACAAAGCACCAUGCGAUGUCAUUGCGACGUGGAUUCAGCCAAACCCCGCCUUCGAUUCACAUGUGCCGAACGAGUACAGCUAAAAGUUCUCAUUUACCAACAAACAUCACGGUGAAAGAUCAUGCAAUUCUGUGCAAUUGCAACUUCAAGUAGUUUUCCACCAAAAAAACAGAAAAAAUGUUCGUGGAUUUUUUUUGGCUGCAACAGUCACUUAAAAAAAUAAACGCUGAAAUCCUAUAUGGACUGCUAUACACACCUAAAUGAAUCUAGUUUGUGAAUGUGCCUAAUUCAGGGAUGUUUGCAUGGGGUUUUAAAACUGCGAUAUUCAUCAUUUAGAUGGAAUCCCAUAGCCCAAUUUAGUAAGAAAACGAGCAAACGAUGAAUAUCUUUUGGCUCUACUUCAUUUGCAUAGGAUUGCAAUUUCAAUCUUGAUGUUAAAUACGAGUACACAAUGCUCACUUGAGCUUACCAAUUUUAUAACUUGGAAACAAAAUCGUUUCCUCGGUUUUAAUGAAACAGCCCUGUGGUCCUUGCUGGAAAAGAUGUUUAAUGGCUUUAAGUUGACCACUAUUAUGAUCUAGGCUAUGUUGCUGCAUGAGCCCUACCUAUUUCAGACUUUACUUCAAUCAGGGCUUUACUGUUCGUAUUCUAGCAGGUAAAGAUUGUAAACAAAAUGUUGAAGGACAGUAGAUCUCUCGGUCAUAUUAUGUCUGAUGUGAGGUCAUAAAUGCAAAACGGAUUAAAAUUACUAAGGCAGGCAGAUUAAAUGCUUAACUGGUGAGUCUGUGGGGGUAUUUCGCUGGUAUGGUUAGGUUCCAUGCAUCCUCUUAGAUGCAUUCACUGCAAAUCAGAGUUCUUCUGAUCACCUUGAUCAUAUGACAAAUAUUUCUGUCAUGAUGUGAUCGGUUUCUUCUAGGAUGAUCCUGUCCACAGCAAACUAUGAUCACUGAAUGGUUUGAUGAUAAAUUAUUUAUAUUAUAUGCUAUGGUCUUCACCAGUGGUUCUCAACCUUUUGUGAGCUCUUUACCCCUAGCAUAUUUCGAACAAUCCACAAGGACCCCCUACUCCACAACAAUCAUAGGCUAUAUAUUUAACAGUCAUUUCUAUAUAUGUUACUUUAUUUUAUUAAUAUUUAACAUUAAUAAUAUUAACAUUGGACGUUUAAAAUUGAAUCAAAAGAUUUCGGGAUUGAUUUAUUUUUUCACAUUUUUAUUGUUGGUGUGACAUUUAGUUUGAGACUGUUUUGUUUAUUUUUUUACCUGUCAAUGCGACACUUGAACUUGUCUACCACUCAUAAAGUCAUAGGUUUUUGCAAAUGAUCUUUUCAUUUGUAAAUAAAUUUCAAAUAAAUCCAUCGAUGAACGAUCGUCAGCUCAGCUAGUGUG